GACCUGUGGUGGGCUCCACCCAGUUCGAGCUUCCCAGCUGCUUUGUUUACCUAAUCAAGCCUGGGCAAUGGCGGGCGCCCCUCCCCCAGCCUCGCUGCCGCCUUGCAGUUUGAUCUCAGACUGCUGUGCUAGCAAUCAGCGAGAUUCCGUGGGCGUAGGACCCUCCGAGCCAGGUGCGGGAUAUAGUCUCCUGGUGCGCCGUUUUUUAAGCCCGUCGGAAAAGCGCAGUAUUCGGGUGGGAGUGACCCGAUUUUCCAGGUGCCGUCCGUCACCCCUUUCUUUGACUCGGAAAGGGAACUCCCUGACCCCUUGCGCUUCCCAAGUGAGGCAAUGCCUCGCCCUGCUUCGGCUCGCGCACGGUGCGUGCACCCACUGACCUGCGCCCACUGUCUGGCGCUCCCUAGUGAGAUGAACCCGGUACCUCAGAUGGAAAUGCAGAAAUCACCGUCUUCUGCGUCGCUCACGCUGGGAGCUGUAGACCGGAGCUGUUCCUAUUCGGCCAUCUUGGCUCCUCCAGGAAGCCCACAGGACCCGUCUCUGCUGAUGGACUUUGCAAGUGGAAUGUGCUAUCAUCCACAGAGACACAGGCCUGCAUAGACACCUCGCCAGUGCCCUGUGCAGAGACAGGCAAGUGUAUUCCUCUGGAGUGUUCGGAAGCUCCCAGGCCCUAGGGGCUGUGUCUGCUCUUUGCUCCAUGUCCUCAUCCACCCCAGCCCAGGUACGAGUGCGCUUCUUCCCUGCGUCAGCUGCACUGGGGCUUUGGGCCUCAUGAUUGGCUUGCACAUGCCAAGCUUCACGGCCGCCUGACUCCCCAGAGCCUGCUCUUGGUGUGUGGGCUUUUCUGUGGCAGGUAGCGGGGGAAUGUGCUGGUCUCUCUUCUGCUCCCUGAGUCCAUACAGACCUGAUUGCUUGGCACACAUCUCUUUCUGGAAGCUUCCUUCUGUCACCACCUCUGCUCUGGCUUCUCUCUUCCAUGAGGCCCUGCGGCCUGGGCUUCCUUGCUCACCCAGCUCUGAGUGCACAUGUGGGGUGCUGGCAUGUUAUUUCGGGGCUGCAUAGUUGACCUUCUAAACUGGCUCCAGCCCCUGUGAGAAGGAUUCCUGUUCCCCUAAGGCCGGGUGGUAUCUCAAGGCUUCCUCUCCCUGGCACUCCAGCAAGGCCGGGCAGCACCAAUGGAGCUGCCCUGGAGUGGGGUCUGAGGACCUGGAUAUCCCAGGCCACCCCGAGGGCCCAGCUUCAUACCUCUCCAUUGAAGAAGCAGUAGAAGACAGACACGAAGAAACCCUGGAAAGGAGGGAAAGGAGGGAGUGGUCAGUGACCUACCUGCGGAGCUGUUCUGCCUGGUGGGGUGGCACUGGGGACAAGAUGGUGGGGGGGGGACAAUUUGACCCAGGAACCCCUGGAGUCAGAGCUGGGUGGGGUCCUAGCCUCAGGGUGCAGAUAUUCCACGGUCCACUCUGAGUGAGCAGUGGUCACAGGCCUGGAGCCAGGCAGACUCCGGUCUCCUCAAUAUUGUGUGACCUGUCCCAGGGCAUUUGGUUGGGCUGCCUGCAUCCUCAGAACAGGUGCUGGGACAGUAGGUGCGGGCUGGUAGGAUGAAGACCCAGGCUGGGAUGGGGAUAACUGGCCAGGCUCAGGCUGAGCAUGUACGGGCUUCUAACUCUGUGGAUGUAACUGAGCCAUGGGUGUGCCAGUCCCACGGGACCCCCUUAGUGAGGGCAUGGCUGCCAGAGCAGCCUCAGGAAAGCUCACUGUGGGGCCCCCAUCUGGUCACAGGCCCCACCUGGAACGACUGCAGGAAGGAGUUGAAAUAGAUGAACAUGAUCUGUGACAGGUCGUCCUCCCCGGGAUUGACGAAGAAGAGCAUGUAGGUGAUGCCCAGGAGGGGCAGGAGCACCAGGGUGGCCUUCACUGCCUUCCUGGGGGCGAGAGGUGGACACAGGUCUGAGCCCAUGCGGCAGGCAGGGCCUCACCCAGUGGGCGGCGGGAGACAGUGGUGGUGUUUCUUCCGGGAGCUUGAGCGAGCUCCCUGGGUGAGGCCUGGGGCAGAGGGCUCUGCCAGGAAGCAGGGGGACGGCCCGAUGACCUCCUCCUGUCCCCAUUGUGGGGUCAAGGGACCCCCUCACAUACCUGUACUGGAUUGUCUCGGAUGUGGUGGACGCGCGUAACUUUGUCAUUAGGAUCCUGACGAUGUUGAACAGAAAUACGAAAUUGAUCUGGAGGGAGGGCGGGCAUGGGAAAGAGGGAAAAGGAAGGAGCACGUGUUUGAGAUGAGCCGAGAGGCAGCCCCCUUCCCCGCAGACCCCUGGAAACCGAUGUCCCACGCACACACCUAUCCUACCUGUCCCCCUAGCACCUGCCAGCAUCCCAAGGCCUGUGCUCCUCCCUCGCCAGGAUGGGGAGACAGCCCCAUUUUCCAGGGCCUGUGUCUCCAGCCCAGGACUGAGGAGGAAAGGUGGCAGCCUCUGUGGGUCGUGACCGAGAGCACGGGGCAUGCCCUCUGAGGCUGAGAAAGCCCCCAACCCUCUCCCCAGUAUAGGGACCCUAUGGGAGCCCCCUUCCCCUCACUGCCACGGGGUCCCUACUUGUUGACUGCGGGGCUCUCUGAGUCCCUUGCACUGUCACUGGCUCUAGGUCGGCCUGAGGUCCUUCUGACUGAGGACAGCACUGCCAUGGUGGGGCGGACAAGGCCAGAUGGAGGGAUUAAGAACUCAGUUGCCGAAUGAGUGAUUAAUCUGCCAGCAUCCCACCCCUGUGCCCAGGAACUCCAGAGCCUUCGUAGGCACCCUAGACAGGGAAGAUGGAUGGGCUGUGGGGCUGGCUCUGAGGCCCCAGGAAGGGCCUCAUUUAUCUUCAUUCUGAGUUUUCCCUCAGCACCAGAGCCUCCCCACCCAGCACCUGGCCCUGGAACUGGCCUGUGUGGCUCCCCAGCUGCUCCCUGCUGGGUGUGGGUCCCCAUGGGCCUGCGAGUGUCUGUUCAUCUGUAUUGGCUGUGACUAUGACUGUGUUGUCCCCUGGGAGCUGCAGUGUGGGUCUGUGGGUCUAUCCUUUAAGCACUUGUGCAAGUGUGUUUGCCUCACAGAGCGUGUGCAUGUGUGAGCAUGGAUCUGGGGCCCGGGCACAUCUGCGUUUCUCUUCACCUGCCUCCGAGCAUAGGCAGGCAGGCAGGCAAGGGAGUGUGUGUCGGCCUGACACAGUGGGGCUGUUUCCUGACAAAGUGCUCGUGGGCCAGAGGGAGACACAUGUUAGCCCAGGGGUGUCUGCUGGCUCGUGUGCACACACCCACUCACACACACACACACACACACACACACCUCUGACACUCUGUCAAGAAAAUCCAUUGCUUCUUAAGCUUGGGCUGGGCCCUUCUAACCCUCCCAAGUUCUGAAUCCUGGCUGGGAGAGGAGGGACACAGGAUACAGACAGAUAUCCUGAGACUGUCAACCUGUAGCCUCUGGAUGCUCCCCACAAGCUUUCGGGUAGCCCUAGGGGCAGGGAGAGCUCACACCCCACCUCAGCCACUGUCUACUGCUCUCUUACCACAUAGUGGUAUGGCCUGGGGGUCCCAGGGAGGGCUGGGGAUGGAAAGCCUUCAGCGGGGCUGCCAUGACCUGAUACCCCCAGCUUUCUCCUAGGGCUCACCUAAUUUCCAGCUCCUGGGUCUCUGGCAUAUUCCCCUGGAUCAUGGGACACAAGUCACCUUAACAUAUAAGUGAAUCCUAAUUUUCUCAUACAAGUAAUACAAAGUAUUUGACCUUUUCUGAUUCUUCCGGACUUCCCUGAGAGUAGAAACUGUUGGAAUCAAAAUAUAUUCUCAUUUCUGCCACAUUUUCUUGAAUUCAAUAUUAAUCUUCCAACAUCCAUCAACCCACUAAUCAAUUCAAUUAUCCACCCACUUUAUUCAUCUAUCCAUCUAUCCACUUACCUACCAACCAGUUCAUUCAUUUACCCACCUACUUUUAUCCAUCCGUCCAUCCAUCCAUCCAUCCAGCCAUUCAUCCAUUCAUCCUUCCUUCCUUCCAUCCAUCCAUCCAUCUACCCAACAACCAAUUCAUUCAAUUAUCCACCUACUGUUUUAUCUAUCCAUCCACGUACCCAUCCAUCUACCCAUCCAUCUACCUACCCAAUAACCAAUCCAUUCAGUUAUCCACCUACUCUUUUAUCUGCCCAUCCACUGGCCCAUCCGUCUAUCCAUUCAUCUACCUAGCAACCAAGGCCUUGUCUCCAUCCUUACACUUGGCAGACAUUUAGUUAUGUGGCCCCACUCAUCUCAGCUUGGGUCUAUGUAACCUGAAAAUCCUUCUUUCCUUUGAGCCUGUUUCCCAGCCUCCCCCUUCACACCACCACAGGUACCUUCCUCUCUCUCCAGGGAGCCUUCUGGUCACCCUGCCCACACUGAGCUCUCCGGCUUUCCAUUCUUGGACUCUACCUCCCUGCUAAAAACACACUCCAGUUCUUUAGUAAGAACUGUCUAUUGUACCCUGCCCUCGUUCAGCCUGUUUCUGGUUUUAUUUAAUUGUUCAUUCAUUCAAUGAAUCAAUGGACCAUGUGUCAGGCUCUGAGCCAGGCAUCAGCGAUGGCGAAGUGGACAGGCAGUCACAGCCCCUGCUUGCAGAGGGCUUGUGGCCUAGCUGGGGGCCUGGAGGGGUUGGGGGUGGGGGAGAUGACAUCUUUCCUAAGGUGUCAAAAAGACCUGGAGAAAUGGCAGAUGGGCUAAGAACUGAAGAUGAGGCCCCCCUCCCAAAUGAACUGAAGCACCAAGUCCUAGUCUCAUGGCUCAAAUUUUGACUGUUCCAAUUUGCAGUUGUGUGGCCUUGGGUAAGUUGCUUAACCUCAUGAGCUCCUGCUUCCUUGUCUGCCCCCGAGGGGCCUAACCACAGAGCUUGCCUUAGAAGAUCAGCAUGGGCUGAAAUAGUCACAGAGACCACUAAGACCUGUGUCUGGCCUAGUGACUGCCAAUCCUUUCCCAUGACACCAACAAUGACAACACCAGCAAGAAGUCAGGCUUCCUGCAAAUUCAACCACCUGAUUCACUUCUCAGAACCAGAAAUAAGUGAGUGUCUCUUAGCAGCAGAAAUGCAGCUGUGAGCUGCUGGGGAGUGUAGGGAUGGCAGGAACACCAAACACGUGUCCAACCUCGAGGACAACAGGCAGAUGGUGGGGACAAAGCAGGAGACCUGCCUUUGAGCCUCUGCUCUGCUAGCUAUUAGUGGUGACCUUGGGCAAGCCACUUCAUCUCUCUCAGCUUCUUCCUCUGUAAAAUGGAGAGCAUAACCCUACUUCUUUUAGGACUUGAGCAUGCAAGGGUUGGAAAUAAUGUAGAUAGAGCUUCUGGAAGGGCUCAGCUUGGAAUGUGGAAGCCCCUGUUGGUGCAAAGAGCUGGGCCCAAAGGAAAGAAGGAAAGGGCUCGUGAGCACAGACGCAGGGGUGGAGCCAGAGAAUGGGUCUGGAAGAGGAAGCAUGGAGCUGGGUCUUGACACUGAGCUCUUGCGUUCCUCGCCUCCCUUUCUCUUGGCAUUUCCUCACCACCCUUCCAACAUCUUUACAGUUGGGGCUUACUCUUUGCCACCAUUGGUCCCCCAUCCAGGCCAGCCUUCCUUGGCUCAGUUCCAGGCUCAUCAAAAGCCUUAUUCCUCCAGGAUGGCCCUUGGCAGCUGGUUGGGAGGGAAAGGAUCUCAUGGGGUUUCCAUACACACUGAGGGGUGAGUGACUCACUGCAGCUGGGAGUCCAAGGACAAUCCUACUAGCUGCUGACAAAACCUGGCUUCUGCCUCUGAAGCGAACCAAGCCCUGACGGUGGAAUUUCCAGCAGUGGGUGAAAAACCUUCCUAGUCUUCAUCAGUUCACAUAUAUCAAGGACACUCCAAAGAUGGAGGUCAAAUGAAACCCGAAGUCACAGAAAAAGGAGAGUAAGAAAAUAAAAGAGAUAAAUAAUAAUUGUCUCCAAGGUAGACAAAAGAAAGCCCCACCAGGCACCUUCUGUGUGCAGGAGGAGAUGGCACUCUCGCUGAGUCUCCCAGAAGGAACUGUGGCCCUUUAAGGAAGCUGGUACAUACAGGAGCCUGAAAUUACUGAGCCUGAAAUAAGUCUUACGUAAAUGCCAAUUUCUUACGGGGCUUUUUUGUAUGUCUUUCUUUCUUUAUCUCUCUCUCUUUUUUUUAAAGGUAUGAUAUAUAAUGGGUUCCUUUUGCAGAAUGCAGCCUCUACUUGAACUCUCUCUUAAUUAAAGCUCAUUGUGGAUUAAA